UGUCGACUUCGUACCUGAGUGUCGUCUGCGGCGCGUAUGCUCGAUGACGAGUGGGGGAAUCCGGUGUGAAUCCGGAACUGUCCCGCAACGGUGUAUCAGUGUGCGUCAGCACCUGAAGCAAGUCCGAUGACCCACUCAACUCAGAAGAUGUUG
rnacentral:ncRNA from 16 species